UACGUAGGGGGCAAGCGUUGUCCGGAAUUACUGGGUGUAAAGGGCGUGUAGGCGGGGCAUUAAGUCAGAUGUGAAAUCCCAUGGCUCAACUGUGGGCGUGCAUCUGAAACUGAUGUUCUUGAGUGCAGGAGAGGAAAGCGGAAUUCCUAGUGUAGCAGUGAAAUGCGUAGAUAUUAGGAGGAACACCGGUGGCGAAGGCGGCUUUCUGGACUGUAACUGACGCUGAGGCGCGAAAGCGUGGGGAGCAAACAGG
rnacentral:rRNA from 1 species